UUGAACGCUGGCGGCAUGCCUAACACAUGCAAGUCGAACGGCAGCACGGUCUAGUUUACUAGAUGGGUGGCGAGUGGCGGACGGGUGAGUAAUGCGCAGGAAUAUGCCUUAAAGAGGGGGAUAACUUGGGGAAACUCAAGCUAAUACCGCAUAAUCUCCGAGGAGAGAAGCUGGGGACCUUCGGGCCUGGCGCUUUAAGAUUAGCCUGCGUCCGAUUAGCUAGUUGGUAGGGUAAAGGCCUACCAAGGCGACGAUCGGUAGCUGGUCUGAGAGGAUGACCAGCCACACUGGAACUGAGACACGGUCCAGACUCCUACGGGAGGCAGCAGUGGGGAAUAUUGGACAAUGGGCGCAAGCCUGAUCCAGCCAUGCCGCGUGGGUGAAGAAGGCCUUAGGGUUGUAAACCCCUUUCAGCGGGGAAGGUAAUGACGGUACCCGCAGAAGAAGUCCCGGCUAACUCCGUGCCAGCAGCCGCGGUAAUACGGAGGGGACUAGCGUUGCUCGGAAUUACUGGGCGUAAAGCGCACGUAGGCGGAUUUGUAAGUCAGGGGUGAAAUCCCGAGGCUCAACCUCGGAACUGCCUUUGAUACUGCAAAUCUCGAGUCCGGAAGAGGUGAGUGGAAUUCCUAGUGUAGAGGUGAAAUUCGUAGAUAUUAGGAAGAACACCAGUGGCGAAGGCGGCUCACUGGUCCGGUACUGACGCUGAGGUGCGAAAGCGUGGGGAGC
rnacentral:rRNA from 1 species